AAAGGAGUAAUUCGGUAUAGGAUGGGCCCGCAUCUGAUCAGCUAGUUGGUGAGAUAACAGCCCACCAAGGCGACGAUCAGUAGCCGACCUGAGAGGGUGAUCGGCCACAUUGGGACUGAGACACGGCCCAAACUCCUACGGGAGGCAGCAGUGGGGAAUAUUGCACAAUGGGGGAAACCCUGAUGCAGCAACGCCGCGUGAAGGAUGAAGGUUUUCGGAUCGUAAACUUCUAUCAACAGGGAAGAAUAAUGACGGUACCUGAAUAAGAAGCCCCGGCUAACUACGUGCCGGCAGCCGCGGUCAUACGUAGGAUCCGAGCAUUAUCCGGAGUGACUGGGUGUAAAGAGUUGCGUAGGUGGAUGUUUAAGUAGAUAGUGAAAUCUGGUGGCUCAACCAUUCAGACUGUUAUCUAAACUGGACAUCUCGAGAGCGUCAGGGGUGACUGGAAUUUCUAGUGUAGGAGUGAAAUCCGUAAGAUAUUAGAAGGAACACCAAUAGCGUAGGCAGGUCACUGGGGCGUUUCUGACACUAAGGCACGAAAGCGUAGGUAGCAAACGGGAUUAGAUACCCCGGUAGUCUACGCCGUAAACGAUGGAUGCUAGCUGUGGGGGGUAUCGACCCCUUCCGUAGCGAAGCUAAUGCGUUAAGCAUCCCACCUGUGUAGUACGAUCGCAAGAUUAAAACAUAAAGGAAUUGACGGGGACCCGCACAAGCGGUGGAGCGUGAUCUUUAAUUCGAUGCUAAACGAUAAACCUUACCAAGGCUUGACAUCCAGGGAAGGCCUCCGAAAGGAGUCUGUGCCUUCGGGAACCCUGUGACAGGUGAUGCAUGGCCGUCGUCAGCUCGUGUCGUGAGAUGUUUGGUUAAGUCCAUCAACGAGCGCAACCCUUGUCAGUAGUUGUAUUUUUCUACUGAAACUGCCCCGGUAACGAGGAGGAAGGAGGGGAUGAUGUCAGGUCAGUAUUUCCCUUACGCCUUGGGCUAGAAUCGCGCUACAAUGGCUGGUACAAUGCGAAGCGAAGUCGCGAGAUGAAGCAAAUCGCACCAAAGCCAGUCCCAGUUCGGAUAGGAGGCUGAAACUCGCCUCCUUGAAGUCGGAAUCGCUAGUAAUCGCAAAUCAGCAUGUUGCGGUGAAUACGUUCCCGGGU
rnacentral:rRNA from 1 species